AAACAAUGAACAAUUAAAAACAAAUUGAUCAAUUUGAUCAAAAAAAAUGUAACAUGGCCCAGCAUGGGUGGAACCCACUUGUAAAUAAUUACCAUGUUUAGUAUAUAUGAAUAACUCAAUAAGUGAUUUUUAAAAAUAAUUUAUAAAAAUUUGAGGUUAUAUACUGUUUAUUUUCACGUAACCGCAUAUCGAGUAAAUUGAACUACAAUUGGAGUUGCAAAUACCGCAUGCUGUGGCAUAUCUUACUUUUUUCGAUAGUUGACGCUUAACUACAAUAUUGUAGUAAAUCUAACCACAAUUUGGAGUUGUCUCAUAUUAUACUACAGCCUGUGGUAAAUGGAACUCCAGUUGUUGUUGCCACUACUACAAUUUAUUUUCGUGGAGCUAAUUUUUGGAGAGGCUUCUUAAAACAUCGUAAACCAACAAAUUUUCAUAAGAGACUCGAAAAAAAAAAAAAAGUCGGUUUUUUUGGGCCACCCUAGUAUAUAUGUAUAGAUCAUACGUUAAAAUAUAAAAAAAUAUGAGAUAGUGGUUAUCGACUGUAAUUAAUAUCUAACUAUCAUUAAAAGUGUCGCAUUCCGUAAAAAUUUAAAACGCUCAGUUAUUUGUGCCUUACGUGGAGUUUGAUUAACAAAUUUUAUUACCUUAACUGCCAUUCAGUAAUGAACACUUCAACUACUAAGUGAACAUAAAUUAUAAUUGAUUUAUUUCCGUUGUCAGUGCCACGUAAUAAACAUCUUUAAGUGCACGUCGUUAACAAAAUGAUAUUUUAACGACUUUUGACAAGAACAAUAAUUAUGAAAUCGCAAAUUUUUCUUACAUCAUUAGUAUCCUAGCUGUGAGUUUAUUGGUCUUUCAAAAUAAAUUUAUUGAAGGAUGUACCUGUAUCAGUUUAACCCGAAGUGAACAAUUUUUAAUUUCAGACUUUGUAUUAAAAAUACAAGCAAAGGGGUAUCAGGAUUACAAUCAUCCUUAUUACAAUCGCUCGUACAAUUUUACGAUACUGACAACUUAUAAGGUAACAGAAUAUGCUGAUCAAUAUGUGCACCAAAAUAGAGUAAUCACUCCACAACAUGAAUGGUAUAAUUGUGGAGUUAAAAUGGCAUAUAAUGAAACUCUUAUAAUUAGUGGAAGAUUAGAAAAUAACGUACCUGCCACUCAUGAAUGUUUUCUCGUUAUAAGAGGAGAAGAAAAUAUCAGAAAUUUUGAUAAUUUUUAAAGGCGGAAUAGUAACGCAUUUUUUUUCUUCAUAAUAAUUUUACAUCGUUUAUUAAGGCCACAUGAAGUGAAAAAAUUUGGAAAAUCAAAAAGUGCACGACUCAUAAUGCUCAUUUAUUAUGAAAUAAUAAAAUAAUAAACAAAUGGCGGGAAGCACGAAUAAAUUUAAAAUAUAUACAAUUUUCUGUCAUUAAAAUUUGUUGUUUUUUUUUUGUUUUAAUUAUAUUAGACAUUUUUUAUAAUUGUAAAAGAAUUUUCUCAAAAUAUUUCGGUUAAUAACAAGAAAAAAUAUAUGUAAAUAAAAACA